rnacentral:rRNA from 1 species
GAAUAUUUGACAAUGGGCGAAAGCCUGAUCCAGCCAUGCCGCGUGUGUGAAGACGGUCUUCGGCUUGUAAAGCACUUUAAGCUGGGCGGAAGGGUUGUAGACUAAUACUCUGCAAUUCUGACGUUACCGACAGAAUAAGCACCGGCUAACUUCGUGCCACCAGCCGCGGUAAUACGAAGGGUGCAAGCGUUAAUCGGAAUUACUGGGCGUAAGGCGGGCGUAGGUGGUUUGUUAAGUUGGAAGUGAAAGCCCCGGGCUCAACCUGGGAACUGCUUUCAAAACUGGCGAGCUAGAGUAGGGCAGAGGGUGGUGGAAUUUCCUGUGUAGCGGUGAAAUGCGUAGAUAUAGGAAGGAACACCAGUGGCGAAGGCGACCACCUGGGCUCAUACUGACACUGAGGUGCGAAAGCGUGGGGAGCAAACAGG